UUUAGAAAUAAAGUUCGGUUCGGUUCGGUUCGGCUCGCCAGCUCACGGAUUGGUGAAUUAUCAGCUUCUUCAAAGGGCGCUGUGGAUUCUUUUCAUCACUUUUUGAUGAAAGACGUGGAAAUGGCAGGAAAGUUGAUACCACCAGCAGUAACCAGACAGAUACUGAGCAGCAGCAAAGGGCCAAACCAGGAAACGUCCAAGGAGCUGUGCUCGUUACAGAUGGAAUGCCCACGUUCAAAUCAGGACAGAUCUCCACCACAGAAGAGGAAAGCGCCUUCUGAAGCAUCUCCUUUGGAUUCAGAGCUUUCAUUUGAUGCCACAGCUGCAGGUGGAGCAAGAGAGAUCAGCAUGAUGUUAACAAAAUUUGCUGAACUGUUAAG